AAAUUGAAGAGUUUGAUCAUGGCUCAGAUUGAACGCUGGCGGCAGGCCUAACACAUGCAAGUCGAACGGUAACAGGAAGCAGCUUGCUGCUUUGCUGACGAGUGGCGGACGGGUGAGUAAUGUCUGGGAAACUGCCUGAUGGAGGGGGAUAACUACUGGAAACGGUAGCUAAUACCGCAUAAUGUCGCAAGACCAAAGAGGGGGACCUUCGGGCCUCUUGCCAUCGGAUGUGCCCAGAUGGGAUUAGCUAGUAGGUGGGGUAACGGCUCACCUAGGCGACGAUCCCUAGCUGGUCUGAGAGGAUGACCAGCCACACUGGAACUGAGACACGGUCCAGACUCCUACGGGAGGCAGCAGUGGGGAAUAUUGCACAAUGGGCGCAAGCCUGAUGCAGCCAUGCCGCGUGUAUGAAGAAGGCCUUCGGGUUGUAAAGUACUUUCAGCGGGGAGGAAGGGAGUAAAGUUAAUACCUUUGCUCAUUGACGUUACCCGCAGAAGAAGCACCGGCUAACUCCGUGCCAGCAGCCGCGGUAAUACGGAGGGUGCAAGCGUUAAUCGGAAUUACUGGGCGUAAAGCGCACGCAGGCGGUUUGUUAAGUCAGAUGUGAAAUCCCCGGGCUCAACCUGGGAACUGCAUCUGAUACUGGCAAGCUUGAGUCUCGUAGAGGGGGGUAGAAUUCCAGGUGUAGCGGUGAAAUGCGUAGAGAUCUGGAGGAAUACCGGUGGCGAAGGCGGCCCCCUGGACGAAGACUGACGCUCAGGUGCGAAAGCGUGGGGAGCAAACAGGAUUAGAUACCCUGGUAGUCCACGCCGUAAACGAUGUCGACUUGGAGGUUGUGCCCUUGAGGCGUGGCUUCCGGAGCUAACGCGUUAAGUCGACCGCCUGGGGAGUACGGCCGCAAGGUUAAAACUCAAAUGAAUUGACGGGGGCCCGCACAAGCGGUGGAGCAUGUGGUUUAAUUCGAUGCAACGCGAAGAACCUUACCUGGUCUUGACAUCCACAGAACCUUGUAGAGAUACGAGGGUGCCUUCGGGAACUGUGAGACAGGUGCUGCAUGGCUGUCGUCAGCUCGUGUUGUGAAAUGUUGGGUUAAGUCCCGCAACGAGCGCAACCCUUAUCCUUUGUUGCCAGCGGUCCGGCCGGGAACUCAAAGGAGACUGCCAGUGAUAAACUGGAGGAAGGUGGGGAUGACGUCAAGUCAUCAUGGCCCUUACGACCAGGGCUACACACGUGCUACAAUGGCGCAUACAAAGAGAAGCGACCUCGCGAGAGCAAGCGGACCUCAUAAAGUGCGUCGUAGUCCGGAUUGGAGUCUGCAACUCGACUCCAUGAAGUCGGAAUCGCUAGUAAUCGUGGAUCAGAAUGCCACGGUGAAUACGUUCCCGGGCCUUGUACACACCGCCCGUCACACCAUGGGAGUGGGUUGCAAAAGAAGUAGGUAGCUUAACCUUCGGGAGGGCGCUUACCACUUUGUGAUUCAUGACUGGGGUGAAGUCGUAACAAGGUAACCGUAGGGGAACCUGCGGUUGGAUCACCUCCUUACCUUAAAGAAGC
rnacentral:rRNA from 1 species